rnacentral:rRNA from 1 species
UUUACACAUGCAAGUCGAACGGCAGCACGGAGAGCUUGCUCUCUGGUGGCGAGUGGCGAACGGGUGAGUAAUAUAUCGGAACGUAUCCAAUAAUGGGGGAUAACGAGUCGAAAGAUUCGCUAAUACCGCAUACGCCCUACGGGGGAAAGCAGGGGAUCGUAAGACCUUGCGUUAAUGGAGCGGCCGAUAUCUGAUUAGCUUGUUGGUGAGGUAAAGGCUCACCAAGGCGACGAUCAGUAGCUGGUUUGAGAGAACGACCAGCCACACUGGAACUGAGACACGGUCCAGACUCCUACGGGAGGCAGCAGUGGGGAAUUUUGGACAAUGGGGGCAACCCUGAUCCAGCCAUUCCGCGUGAGUGAAGAAGGCCUUCGGGUUGUAAAGCUCUUUCGCAAGGGAAGAAAACUUAUGAUCGAAUAAAUCAUGAGGUUGACGGUACCUUGAUAAGAAGCACCGGCUAACUACGUGCCAGCAGCCGCGGUAAUACGUAGGGUGCGAGCGUUAAUCGGAAUUACUGGGCGUAAAGCGUGCGCAGGCGGUUUUGUAAGUCGGAUGUGAAAUCCCCGGGCUCAACCUGGGAACUGCGUUCGAAACUGCAAGGCUAGAGUGUGUCAGAGGGGGGUAGAAUUCCACGUGUAGCAGUGAAAUGCGUAGAGAUGUGGAGGAAUACCAAUGGCGAAGGCAGCCCC